rnacentral:rRNA from 1 species
CCUACGGGGGACAGCAGUGGGGAAUAUUGGGCAAUGGGCGCAAGCCUGACCCAGCAACGCCGCGUGAAGGAAGAAGGCUUUCGGGUUGUAAACUUCUUUUCUCAGGGACGAAGCAAGUGACGGUACCUGAGGAAUAAGCCACGGCUAACUACGUGCCAGCAGCCGCGGUAAUACGUAGGUGGCAAGCGUUAUCCGGAUUUACUGGGGGUAAAGGGCGUGUAGGCGGGAAAGCAAGUCAGAUGUGAAAACCAUGGGCUCAACCUGUGGCCUGCAUUUGAAACUGUGUUUCUUGAGUGCUGGAGAGGCAAUCGGAAUUCCGUGUGUAGCGGUGAAAUGCGUAGAUAUACGGAGGAACACCAGUGGCGAAGGCGGAUUGCUGGACAGUAACUGACGCUGAGGCGCGAAAGCGUGGGGAGCAAACAGGAUUAGAUACCCGGGUAGUC